rnacentral:lncRNA from 1 species
UCCCCCCCAAAAAAACCAGCUUUCUACCCUGGCAUUGCAGCACUACAGCAGAGAAAUCUUGCCUUGGUGCUUUUGGGAAGUGAUAGAACCUUUAUGCUGUGUGACCUGGUGGAAGGAAGCUAAACCAUCAGUGGUGUGCCCUUGAAGGAGAUAUUGGGACCUCCUCUUCCUCGUUCCUCCCAGCUGCCAUGAGAUGAGAAACUCAGUCCUCUCCAUACUCUCACUGUGAUGAUCUGCUGCCCUAUGGGCCCAAACAACAAGGCCAACUAACCAUGGACUAAAGCCACUGAUAUUCCUGUGGAAUAUACAAAAAGGCCCCGAGAUAUGAAACUGAAAUUAUCUGAAAUCUUCAGAGUGAACUUCCACCUCAUUCCCAUCUCUGGAAGAGUCAGACAGACCCGGGUUUGUGUCUUGACUCCAGCUCACUGACUCCGUGAACUUGGGAAGUUUUCUUGAAUUCUCUGCGCCUCUGUUUCCUCAGCUUAGAGUCUGGGUGAAAAAAAUCCACUUGUGUGUGAAGGCCGUGAGUAUUCAGCAGAUGCAGACCUAGAAGAUAGAUUAGGGAUUUUCAGGUUAC